UUAGUUUUCGGCGGACACAACAUCUUUGUUUGUAUGUGGUGCUAAGGAUCGAACCCGGGCCGCACGCAUGCCAGGCGAGCACGCUACCGCUUGAGCCACAUCCCCAGCCCAAUCAGCACCUUAAUGUUCUCAACCUCUGAAGUCGCCAGGAUUACAGGCAUGCACUACCACAAUCCACUCCCAUUCAGACAGGAUGAGGUGUUGCCCUGGCUGUCCCCAAGCUCCUGGGCUCGAGUGAUUCUCCUGCCUCAGCUUCCAAGUAGCUGGGACUACAUGCACACACCACCUUCCCCAGUUUUUAACUCCAAUUUUUGCCAGGUGAUGUGCCACAAUUUACACUAUCAGGGCCUUAGGAAUUGUGACAUGGUUUAAAAACAGUUACAGGGCUGUCUGUCCCUUUGGAGAUAGCCCACAUUCUCCCUUACUUGAAUAUUCCUAGCUUCACCCCAUGGGCAUCUCUCUUGAGAUUGCCCCUAUUCUCCCUUGAUUUGCACCUGAUUAUGCAUCUGCUAUCCUAAAUAAACCUCCA